AUACGGAGGGCGCAAGCGUUGUUCGGAAUCAUUGGGCGUAAAGCGCGCGUAGGCGGCUAGGUAAGUCGGGUGUGAAAUCCCGGGGCUCAACCCCGGAACUGCACUCGAAACUACCUGGCUAGAGUCUCGGAGAGGUAGGCGGAAUUCCCGGUGUAGAGGUGAAAUUCGUAGAUAUCGGGAGGAACACCAGUGGCGAAGGCGGCCUACUGGACGAUGACUGACGCUGAGGUGCGAAAGCGUGGGGAGCAAACAGGAUUAGAUACCCCAGUAGUCC
rnacentral:rRNA from 1 species